rnacentral:ribozyme from 2 species
UUAUUAACUCCGCCUGUACUCUUCUAGAGUUACUGCCGGUCCCAAGCCCGGGUAAAGGAGGAGAGUUGG